ACGAAAAAUAACGAUACGGGACUCAUCCGAGGCCCCGUAAUCGGAAUGAGUACACUCUAAACCCUUUAACGAGGAUCAAUUGGAGGGCAAGUCUGGUGCCAGCAGCCGCGGUAAUUCCAGCUCCAAUAGCGUAUAUUAAAGUUGUUGCGGUUAAAAAGCUCGUAGUCGAAUUUGUGUCCCGCGCCGCCGGUUCAUCGCUCGCGGUGUCAACUGGCGUGUCCGCGGGACGUCCUGCCGGUGGGCUUAGCCCGUUCGGGCGGCCCAAUCUCAAUCCCACCGCGGUGCUCUUCACUGAGUGUCGAGGUGGGCCGGCACGUUUACUUUGAACAAAUUAGAGUGCUUAAAGCAGGCUAAAACAUCGCCUGAAUACUGUGUGCAUGGAAUAAUGGAAUAGGACCUCGGUUCUAUUUUGUUGGUUUUCGGAACCCCGAGGUAAUGAUUAAUAGGAACGGAUGGGGGCAUUCGUAUUGCGACGUUAGAGGUGAAAUUCUUGGAUCGUCGCAAGACGGACAGAAGCGAAAGCAUUUGCCAAAAACGUUUUCAUUGAUCAAGAACGAAAGUUAGAGGUUCGAAGGCGAUCAGAUACCGCCCUAGUUCUAACCAUAAACGAUGCCAGCUAGCGAUCCGCCGACGUUCCUCCGAUGACUCGGCGGGCAGCUUCCGGGAAACCAAAGCUUUUGGGUUCCGGGGGAAGUAUGGUUGCAAAGCUGAAACUUAAAGGAAUUGACGGAAGGGCACCACCAGGAGUGGAGCCUGCGGCUUAAUUUGACUCAACACGGGAAACCUCACCAGGCCCGGACACCGGAAGGAUUGACAGAUUGAGAGC
rnacentral:rRNA from 1 species